CACACACACACAGGGAGAGAGGGAGAGGAGAGGACAACCAACCAGACUGCCAAUUCCCUACGGUCCACUGAAGGGGAGCCUAAAAUUCAUCUAUCACAACACUCCUCAUUCAGCAAAGCUAGAGGGAGAUUUUUGUUUAUUUUUAUAUCAGAUUUAUUUGAGAGAGAGAGAGAAUUACGGAGCAUCUGUCAGGAAAGAGCAGGAAAGAGAGAGAGAGAGAGAGAGAGAGAGAGAGAGGGGAAAAACAACAAGCAGAUCUAGAAAAACACGCUCAUGCCGAAUAAAGGACCGUCGCUGGAUGUUACUUGUGUUGUUGUAGGGGGGGUGCAGGCCUAACUUGUUACAGGAUUCACAGACGCGCUUACAGACAGAUGAACUGAACAAUUGAGAUUCAGUAACUAAAAUAACAGCGGGGGGAAAGAAGAAAAGGCAUCCAACUGAUUACGCCGAUUCUUUGCCACGAACAGCACCACAGACUUCUCAAUGAAGGAGCCUGACGCAAUCAAGCUCUUCAUCGGGCAGAUACCCCGAAACUUGGAGGAGAAGGACCUGAAGCCCAUCUUCGAGCAGUUCGGCAAGAUCUAUGAGUUGACGGUGAUAAAGGACAAAUACACAGGGAUGCACAAAGGAUGUGCCUUCCUGACAUAUUGUGCACGUGAGUCCGCCCUCAAAGCCCAGAAUGCACUGCACGAGCAGAAGACACUACCAGGGAUGAACCGUCCAAUCCAAGUGAAGCCGGCAGACAGCGAGAGCAGAGGGGACGGGGACAGACGGAGCAGCUUCUCUGACAACACACAGGACAGGAAGCUGUUUGUGGGCAUGCUGGGAAAACAGCAGACGGACACUGAUGUGAGAAAGAUGUUCGAGCCGUUCGGCAGCAUAGAGGAGUGCACGGUGCUCCGCGGGCCCGACGGUACCAGCAAAGGGUGUGCAUUUGUAAAGUACCAGAGCAACGCAGAGGCCCAGGCCGCCAUCAAUGCUUUGCAUGGGAGUCGUACUUUACCAGGCGCCUCAUCCAGCCUGGUGGUGAAGUUUGCCGAUUCGGAGAAGGAGCGAGGGCUCCGGCGGAUGCAGCAGGUGGCCUCUCAGUUGGGAGUCAUCAGCCCCAUGACCCUGCACCUCGGGGCUUAUAACGCCUACACACAGGCCCUGAUGCAGCAGCAGGCCCUGGUGGCGCAGUCGGCCUACCUCUCUCCUGUUGCCACGGUGGCUGCGGUUCAGAUGCAGCAGCUCGCCGCCCUCAACCCCAGCAGCAUCAUUGCCACGCCGAUCGCAUCCAUCACCCCCUCCUCAGGUACCAGCACUCCACCCUCCAUGGCAGCCACACCUGUUCCUGCUCUGCCUCCACCAAUCACAGUGAACAGCUACUCCUCUGUGCCAGCUCCACCCAACGGCCAAUCAGCAACUGAAGCCCUGUACACCAAUGGGGUUCAUGCCUAUCAAGCUCAGAGUCCUGUCCUGGACCCCCUGCAGCAAGCUUAUACAGGCAUGCAGCACUAUACAGCCACCUACCCUGCUGCCUACAGCCUGGUGGGACAACCAUUCCCUCACCAGCCCACGCUGGUGGCUCAGCAGCCGCAGCAGCCGCAGCAGCUGCAACAGCGAGAAGGUCCCGAGGGCUGUAACAUCUUCAUCUACCACCUGCCGCAAGAGUUCACCGACUCUGAGAUACUGCAGAUGUUCCUGCCCUUCGGAAACGUCAUCUCUGCAAAGGUCUUUGUGGACCGCGCCACCAACCAGAGUAAAUGCUUCGGUUUUGUGAGUUUUGACAACCCAUCCAGCGCCCAGACUGCCAUCCAGGCCAUGAACGGCUUCCAGAUCGGCAUGAAGAGACUGAAGGUGCAGCUGAAGAGGCCCAAGGAUGCCAACAGGCCUUACUAAAGGAGACUGUCCCGUCCAUACAUAUAUCGUGGAGACGUGCGUCGCUAUGGCUACGGUUGCCUAGCAACCGCUAAAACCUCCCCCCCUUCCUUCUCACUGCGUUGAAAACCUAAGAGUUCAAUCAAGAAAACCACUUGGGAUGUCCCAGCCUUUUUUGGUUGUUUGACCAACCGUAUAGCACAGGAGCAACACUUCACUAAAAAGCAGUAUCACGUGUAUGCGCUUACAAAAACAACAACAACAACAACAACAACAACAACAACAACAACAGCAGUUAUAUCAGCAAAAUACAUCAACAGAAUCAGCAUCCGCAAUAUCGGAAGUGCUCCAGAUUUCCUAUCAUUCCACAGCUGGAUUCAUUUAUAUUAUGUACAUACUCUAUUGUCGGCAACAAGCUCUACAUGUUAAGAAAAAGCAUAUCACUGAUGUUAUUCUACUGAACAGGGUUCUAAUGUAUAGUGUGAUUUGUGGCGUUAACGGAAGGCCAGUCUGCACAGUCGGAGGCAAAAGAAAAUACUAUUCUGUAUGAUUACCAUUGGUAAUAUUGUUAUGUAGAGUUAGUUUUAUUAUUUAUACGUAAAUUAAAAAACAUGGGGUAAUUAACUGGAAGAGAAAUGGAUUUCCUCUCACUGUACAUACCUUGGUUUUAAAAAUGGAGUUAAAGGACUUCACGAGUUAAAGAUUCUCUGCUGCCACUACUUUUCAAAUUAACAAAGCGGAAGGAAAGGGCUGGGAAUUUUUCUAUCUUGAUUUUUUACGUUUAAUUUAUUUGGUAAUCAAUUUGAUGAUGGGGUGGGGGUGGGGGGAGAUGUGACAAUUUCUUUUUUAAUUUAAGAAGAAGAGAAGAAAAAAAAAGAGGAUUCCUGUGGUCUUCAAGACAAUGAACACACUUAUUAUAGAGUUUUUAAUUACAUAAAUGUAACUAUGGAAGUAAAAAAAAAACAACAUAAUGUUUCUUUAUUUAUUCUCUACAAUCGCUGUUUUAAAACAUAUGUCUUUAAAAGAAAAUAAAGUACAAUUUAGAAAAAAAAAAUGUGGAUGUGUGUCUGCUCAAUGUGUGACAAAUCAAAUGACACUUAUUUUAUUAAACAGACAGCAGAAGAGAUGA